CAAAAAUACCACUUUUCUUAUACCACUUUUCAAAAAUACACUAACCAACUUUACCAUUAAAUUUUAAUGAGAUGAAAGACUACUAUACCCUCGUAUACACAACAUAUUAUCUUCUCUUCCCCUCUCCAAAUCUCAUCGUCAUCGUCAUAUAUUCCGGUGAAAAAGUUCGACGCCAACUCUCUCCGGUGACUAAUUCCGGCGAUAUUAAAACGAUCAUGUGACGCUGAGUUGUACGGUGAGAUCCAGCGAAGAAGAUGCGGCGAGAUCCGACGAUGCUACAGCGAGAUUUGGUGAUGAUGACGAGUUCCCGGCAAGAUCUAACGACGUUGACGAUUUCCGGCGAGAUUAGACGACGCUCAUGAUUUUUCUGACGAGCUCUCUGACGACUUUUCCAGCGAGCCUUUCGACGAACCUGAAAAACUUGACGAGAUCCGACGAACUGACCAAGCUCUCUCACGACGUCAACGAAGGAACAAUAUGUGAUUGGCUUGCAUUCAGAUUUUGAAGAUCGACGAGGUUGGUGAGUUGUUUGAAGAAGCAAGAGGAACUCUGAACAACAACGUGAUGGAGCUCUUAGGGAGGACAAGCUGCUGAUUCCACUUCCUUCAUUUGUGAUCUUGGUUCUUCUCACAUUCUAUUCUCCAUCCACAAGAGUUAAAAUUUCGUUCAGAAAUACACAAAAUCGAAAGGAGAUAUACGCAUACCAGCUGGGAAACUUGAACAGGAGAAGGAUUCGACAUCUGAUCCACGGUGUGUGAGAGAGGGAUGAGAUGACGAUUACAUGAGAGAGAGAAUCCGUGUGUUAGCUCGUCGGAGAUCUCAACGGAACGAUGACGAUGACUUUCGAUGACGACGACUACGAUGUUUCGAUGACGACGACGACGACGAGGAUUUUCGAUGACGACGACGACGAUGACGACGACGGAUUCGAAGAAGAGAAACGAUGGUCUCGACAGAGAGAAGAAAGUAUCGAUAGAGAGAUGUGAUAUGUUAGAGAUAGGG